ACUCUACAGGGAAAUGUGUUGUUUUGGGAUACUAAAGGUGGACGUAUCAAGACGUUCCCUAAGCUCUCUGAAUCAGGAAACUUCUCCAUCCUCCUUCAGAAAGUGCAGCCGUAUGAUCUGGGUCUCUACCACUGUGAGCUGUUUAACGGGACCGGCUGCAGAAUUGCGUAUCAGGAGCUUCACCUGUGUGAUACCAUCCAACAAAGCCAAGAGAACUAUCAGUUAGUGUGGAGCACAGUUGGAGCAUUCUCAGGAGGAAUUGUGCUGCUUGCUGUAUUCACAACCUGUUUAUUACAUGCAAAACACAGACAAGAUUUCAUUGUUAUACAAACUGACUGUGAAAACGUUGUGGGUGCAACAGCACACUCAGACAGAGGAAGGUUACACAAGAAACAACAGAAAGCAUGACAUCAUACCUACUGCUAUCUACAUCAACUUUCCAGUUAACAGGUAGGACA